rnacentral:tRNA from 1 species
UCCCUGGUGGCUCAGACGGUAAAGCGUCUGCCUGCAAUGCAGGAGACCCAGGUUCGAUCCCCAGUUUGGGAA